rnacentral:rRNA from 1 species
UACGUAGGGGGGCUAGCGUUGUCCGGAAUCAUUGGGCGUAAAGAGCGCGUAGGCGGCCCUGUAAGUCCGCUGUGAAAGUCAAGGGCUCAACCCUUGGAUGCCGGUGGAUACUGCAGGGCUAGAGUCCGGAAGAGGCGAGUGGAAUUCCUGGUGUAGCGGUGGAAUGCGCAGGAUAUCAGGAGGAACACCGAUGGCGAAGGCAGCUCGCUGGGACGGUAGCUGACGCUGGAGGCGCGAAAGCGUGGGGAGCAA